UAGUCAAGGAGUAGUUUAAUUAGAAUAUUAAUUUUGGAGAUUAAUGGUGAAUUUUUUUGUUCUUUCUUGAU
rnacentral:tRNA from 1 species